GUUACUAAAUUAGACUAAUAGCAUACAAGUGUGCGCACAUGCACCUUGUUAAGAAUAAGAUUACCAAGAACUAGAAUUAUCAUUCCGUUAACCAACCAGAUGGUUAGAGAUAUUCAGCAGACCCUUUCAACUGUAAAAAAGCCUUUGAAAUCCACAAACAUAUUAUACUUAUACACUCAAUAUGUCAGUAUAUGUAUUAAAACUAACACUGAUACAAUAGCCUUGUUCCAAAAAA